rnacentral:tRNA from 1 species
GGGAGGUUGGCGUCAAGGCGACGCAGCGGAUUCUUAAUCCGAUAGAGGUGGGUUCAAUUCCCAUGCCUCCCA